AAACUCUAAAGAAAACAUCUGAGAAGAAGCAGGUCUCCAGAAGUCUCUUAACUGACCUCUAGUUAUCAACUUUGUCUCAGAUGUUUCUCCUAAAAAUCCUGAGGAGAAAUAAAAACAGACAAAAUGAGUCAAUAAUUCUAUACAGUAAGAUUAUAGAGAUCUGUGUUUUAAUUACAGAUGCUAGUGUCUCGAUCUGUGCUCAGAUUUGCUCCUGAGAUCUCGUCUAAGACUCAAGUGAGAUUACUGGAGACUUUUACUCAGGAGAAACAUCUGAGAAGCAGGUCCGUCGAGAGAUCUGCGCUCCAAACAAAUCGCUCGUCCUCUUCACUGAAGCUCGGCUCCAGCGUCUUCUGUGUUUCUUCACCUCGGGCCGGGCGAGAUCAGCUUUAUUCUGCUUCCUUCUGAAAUGCUUUCAGAUGCUUUCAUCUGCUGCCCGAGGCUACAUCCUCACAACACACAAACGCAAAACUAGUCUGAACUAUCAGUGUUGUGAAACUCCAGCACAUUAAACACAAUUAAAUAAGGUAUGUUAACAGUAUAUAACAGCAGCUCCUGGCAACAAUAUUGAGUAGAAAAUAUUACAUUUUAAUUCUUGCAGCAUGUCAGAGUUACACAACAUUAUUGCUUACAAUUAAGUAACUGACCUGUAACUUUAUUUUUAGUAAAAAAAAAAAAAAAAUGCAACAAUGCAACAUCCUCCAUAAGGCAUGCAUAAAUAUUUACAAUAUAGACUGGUUGAGCAGUUUUACUUCUGUUUGCUGCAUUUUCCAUGAAGCUUUUUUCAAGAUGCUUCUGAAAAACGCUGUAGAAAUGAAAUUCCAUUGUAUUCGUUUGUUAAUGUUAGUUAAUAUAAAAAUACAGCUGUUCAUGUCUGUUAAGGUUAGUUCACAGUGCAUUAACUAAUAUUAGGGUUAAGAUCUAAAAUAAUAUCAAAUUGUUAAUGUAUAUUUAGUUUUACUAAAUGCUGUAGAAUACUUAACAAGUGUAUGUUAAGUAAUGUAGUUUAUUAAUGUUCAUAAAUAAAAUCUUAAUGUAAAGUAUUUGUAAAUUACUU
ensembl:lncRNA